GACGAACGCUGGCGGCGCGCCUAACGCAUGCAAGUCGAACGGAGUCAAGAGGAGCUUGCUUUUCUUGACUUAGUGGCGAACGGGUGAGUAACGCGUGAGUAACCUGCCCUGGAGUGGGGGACAACAGUUGGAAACGACUGCUAAUACCGCAUAAGCCCACGGAUCCGCAUGGAUCUGCGGGAAAAGGAUUUAUUCGCUUCAGGAUGGACUCGCGUCCAAUUAGCUAGUUGGUGAGGUAACGGCCCAUCAAGGCGACGAUUGGUAGCCGGACUGAGAGGUUGAACGGCCACAUUGGGACUGAGACACGGCCCAGACUCCUACGGGAGGCAGCAGUGGGGGAUAUUGCACAAUGGGGGAAACCCUGAUGCAGCGACGCCGCGUGGAGGAAGAAGGUUUUCGGAUUGUAAACUCCUGUCGUUAGGGACGAUAAUGACGGUACCUAACAAGGAAGCACCGGCUAACUACGUG
rnacentral:rRNA from 1 species